rnacentral:rRNA from 1 species
UACGGAGGGGGCUAGCGUUGUUCGGAAUUACUGGGCGUAAAGCGUACGUAGGCGGCUUUUUAAGUCAGAGGUGAAAUCCCACGACUCAAUCGUGGAACUGCCUUUGAGACUGGAUCGCUUGAAGAUGGGAGAGGUUAGUGGAAUUCCGAGUGUAGAGGUGAAAUUCGUAGAUAUUCGGAAGAACACCAGUGGCGAAGGCGGCUAACUGGACCAUUCUUGACGCUGAGGUACGAAAGCGUGGGGAGCAAACAGG